rnacentral:rRNA from 1 species
UGUACACACCGCCCGUCACACCACGAGAGUUUACAACACCCGAAGUCGGUGGGGUAACCCGCAAGGGAGCCAGCCGCCGAAGGUGGGGUAGAUGAUUGGGGUGAAGUCGUAACAAGGUAGCCGUAUCGGAAGGUGCGGCUGGAUCACCUCCU